ACUACGGGAGGCUGCAGUGGGGAAUAUUGCGCAAUGGGCGAAAGCCUGACGCAGCGACGCCGCGUGAGGGAUGAAGGUCUUCGGAUCGUAAACCUCUGUCAGCAGGGAAGAACGGUCACUGUGCUAAUCAGCAGUGAAUUGACGGUACCUGCAAAGGAAGUACCGGCUAACUCCGUGCCAGCAGCCGCGGUAAUACGGAGGGUGCGAGCGUUAAUCGGAAUUACUGGGCGUAAAGCGCUCGUAGGCGGUAUGUCAAGUCAAGGGUGAAAUCCCCGCGCUCAACGUGGGAACUGCCUUUGAAACUGGCAAACUGGAGUGUGUGAGAGGAUAGUGGAAUUCCAGGUUGAGGAGUGAAAUCCGUAGAUAUCUGGAGGAACAUCAGUGGCGAAGGCGACUAUCUGGCACAUAACUGACGCUGAGGAGCGAAAGCGUGGGUAGCAAACAGGAUUAGAUACCCGGGUAGUC
rnacentral:rRNA from 1 species